UGGACCAUCGAAUGACAACUGGUGGCUUAUGUGGUCGUAUAUGAAGAACAGUAUGUAUCGGCAACUUUGAGGUCCAA
ensembl:snoRNA